rnacentral:rRNA from 1 species
AUGGCCAAGAUACUCAAUUUACAAGAGGAACACCUGGUAAACAUGAUCGGCGAGAACUCCAUCACCCAAGCUAUAUUCAACUACUACCCUCAGUGUCCAAGGCCGGACCACGUCUUGGGCCUGAAGGCCCACACCGACGGCUCCAUAAUCACAGUCAACUUCGCCGAUGCUGAGGGGCUCCAACUUCAGAAAAACGGCGUCUGGUACAACGUGCCCGUCGUUCCAAAUGCAUUGGUUAUGAACAUAGGAGAUAUAAUGGAGAUUUUGAGCAAUGGGUUUUUCAAGAGCCUGGUGCAUAGGGUUGUGACCAAUGCAGAGAAAGAGCGCUUGUCGUUGGUGCUGGUCUAUACAUUGGAGCUAGAGACAGAGCUUGAGCCGGUGUCAGAGCUGGUGGAUGACAAGAGACCUGCGCGAUACAUGAAGAUCAAGCUCCACGACUACAUGGAAAAAUACCAUGACACUUAUGCCACAGGGACACUAGCCAUCGACGGCGUGAAGAUCUCAAUAUGA